GCCGCACUCCCGCCGCUCCGCUGACCGGACCCGCCGCCGCCGAGAGCUUUCCCAGCCUGAAGUUGCACACCAUGGUGCUGGCAGCCAAGGACCCGGAGGUGAAAGCAAUUGCAAGCCCGAAAGGGACGGCCUUCUCUUUCGUUCUCAGAAAACACGCAUGAGUAAAGACCAAAACCAGUAGAACGGAAAAGAUAUGUCAAUGUGUUAUUUCUGCUCAAACAUUCUCCAAUGUCAGCAACAAAACAAAAUUUGCUUUUGAGGGAUCAACACCAUACCUGUACAUGUUGCACAUUAAAGGCCAGGUGAGGCACUGGCAAAAGAUCUCUUCUUUCCUCCUGCACAGCACAGGCUGGACGGCGUCUUUUUGAAAUAACAGAGAACUACAAUUCCAUUAA